CCUACGGGAGGCUGCAGUGGGGAAUAUUGCACAAUGGGCGAAAGCCUGAUGCAGCAACGCCGCGUGAGCGAAGAAGGCCUUUGGGUUGUAAAGCUCUGUCGGGUAGGAAGAUAAUGACGGUACUACCCGAGGAAGCCCCGGCUAACUACGUGCCAGCAGCCGCGGUAAUACGUAGGGGGCGAGCGUUAUCCGGAAUUACUGGGUGUAAAGGGUGCGUAGGUGGCUGCUUAAGCGUGAGGUGAAAGGCAAUGGCUUAACCAUUGUGAGCCUCGCGAACUGGGUGGCUUGAGUGCAGGAGAGGAAAGCGGAAUUCCUAGUGUAGCGGUGAAAUGCGUAGAUAUUAGGAGGAACACCAGUGGCGAAGGCGGCUUUCUGGACUGCAACUGACACUGAGGCACGAAAGCGUGGGGAGCAAACAGGAUUAGAUACCCUAGUAGUC
rnacentral:rRNA from 2 species